rnacentral:lncRNA from 1 species
GAAUAAUGCUCCAGAAUUAGAUUAUGGUGAUAGUUGUACAACAUAGUAAAUAUACCGAAAUGUAUACUGUAAAAUGGUGAUUUUUAUGUUCUAUGAAAUAUUUCUCAAUUUUUAAAAUGCUGUAAAGGAAAUAAAGUUAAGUGACAAGUGUUAUACUUGUAUCCCAAAUAUCAAUUUUGGGUUCUAUCAAUUGCGAAACAGCCAUCUAUGUGAAAAUGACUUGGAAUUUUUAGAUGAUUGUUGCUUAAAAGAGACAACUUUGCAAUCUAUCUGCAGGGAAACCUAAUGUAAUCUUUGAUUACAAUCAACUAUAUUCUAGUUAAGGGAGAGAAUAGUCAUGUUUUCUUCUAUAUUCAUUAGAGUGAGCCAUAUCUAGGGUCUUGAGUUUAAUUCUGAGCAUUUAAGACAAAAUUUAGUCAUAAAAGGAAGUUAAUUAUUUAUGAUGUAAUGCAAUAGAUGAAUCUCAAAAGCGUUAUGCUGAUAAAAGAAGCCAGAUACAAAAGGCUAAUAUUUUUAUUACUCUAUUUAUACAACAUUCUGGAAAAGACAAGACUAACUACAUGAAUAAAAUUGUAUUGGUGGUUGCAGGUUAUCAGAAGAUGGGAGUAACUGAAAAGGGGUACAAUAUGGUAGGGUGAUGUAAAAUGCUUUGAUUGUGGUGGUAACUGUACAAUGACACAUUUGUCAACUCAUGAAACUGCAUACUCCAAAGGGUACUUUUACUUACUUAUUUUCUUACUUAAAUAAGAAAGGAAUACUGACAAGUUGAAUUUUAGAAUAGUAACAAGUUGAAUUUUCCCUAGAUCAGAAACAAAGGUUGUUUCUGAUUCUGGGCCAUUUUGAAUAAAAGCUGUUGUCCACACUCAUAUACAGAUUUCUACAUGAACAUUAAAUCUUGAUUUCUUUGGUGCCUGGGAGUUUAAUUGUGGAUUUAUAUGGUAGUUGAAUGUUUAGUUUUUCAUGAAACUGCAGAAUUGUUUUCCAUCAUAGUUGUGCUAUUUUUAUGUUCCCACUAGAAAUAUGUGAGUGAUCUAGUUUCUCCAAAUUGCCAGCAUUUGAUCCCUCUAUUUUCUAUUUGAGUCAGAUUUGGUCAGUGCUUUCUCAGUUUUAGCAAAAAAGUCCAACAUCUCUGGAAAAUACCUCUCAGCCCUAGGGAAAUUGGGGUUAGAGUAGUUAUGAUAGUAAAGAAGCUUGGAACAAUGUAUACUGAGAAAAACACAAAGGAAGCAGACUAAAGGACUGUUAUGUGUCUGAUGAGUUGGCCACUAAUACAGGAAAGUAUUAGUUCUAGAACAAAGCAGAUUUUGCCUUAAAAAGCAAAGAACAAGUCCCAUC